rnacentral:rRNA from 1 species
GACCACCCCCCAAGGCUAAAUACUAACCAGUGACCGAUAGCGUAUAGUACUGUGAAGGAAAGGUGAAAAGAACCCUGGGAAGGGAGUGAAAGAGAACCUGAAACCAUGUGUUUACAAACUGUGGAAGAACUAUUAAAAGUUCAACCGCGUACUUUUUGUAGAACGGUCCGGCGAGUCACGCCGGCUGGCAAGGUUAAGGACUAAAGGUCCGGAGCCGAAGGGAAACCAAGUCUUAAUAGGGCGAAGAGUCAGUCAGCGUGGACCCGAAACCGGGUGAUCUACCCAUGUCCAGGAUGAAGCUGCCGUAAGAGGUAGUGGAGGUCCGAACACACAUCCGUUGAAAAGGGUGGUGAUGAGGUGUGGGUAGGGGAGAAAUUCCAAUCGAACCCGGAGAUAGCUGGUUCUCCUCGAAAUAGCUUUAGGGCUAGCCUCAGGUUAGUCUGCCGCAGGUAGAGCACUGAAUUUCCUAGGGGGCGUCAAAGCCUACCGAAGAAUAUCAAACUCCGAAUGGCGGACAGAUGAUGCUGGGGAGUCAGACUGCACGAGAUAAGUUGGGUGGUCAAAAGGGAAAGAGCCCAGACCUACAGCUAAGGUCCCAAAGUACGUGUUAAGUGGAAAAGGAUGUGGGAUUUCAAAGACAGCUAGGAUGUUGGCUUAGAAGCAGCCAUACAUUAAAAGAGUGCGUAAUAGCUCACUAGCCGAGAGGUCCUGCGCCGAAAAUGUCCGGGGCUAAAACACGACACCGAAGCUUAGGAAUCAGAAAUGAUUGGUAGAGGAGCAUUCUUAAAUCAUCGAAGCUGUACCGAUAAGGAGCAGUGGAGGUUUAAGAAGAGAGAAUGCCGGAAUGAGUAGCGAGAAUGAAGUGAGAAUCUUCAUGGCCGAAUAUCCAAGGUUUCCAGGGUAAAGCUGAUCUGCCCUGGGUUAGUCGGGGCCUAAGGCGAGGCUGAGAAGCGUAGCUGAUGGACAACAGGUUGAAAUUCCUGUACUGCCUUAUAACAGAACUGUGGGGACACAUGUUCAGGUCGCGAGCCGGGAAAGGAAAGCCCGGCGCAAGCAGAGGUUAUCGGUGGGAGGCAAACCCCCCACAAAAGAGAAGACUGCGAUGCGGAGCGAAGAAAAGUAGCGAAGAGCGAUGAGAAUGUGUCGAGAAAAGCCGCUAUUGUUUAUAAGGUACCCGUACCGUAAACCGACACAGGUGGAUGAGGAGAGAAUCCUAAGGCCGGCGGGAGAAGCAUUGUUAAGGAACUCGGCAAAAUGACCCCGUAACUUCGGGAGAAGGGGUGCCCACGAAAGUGGGCCGCAGAGAAUAGGCUCAAGCAACUGUUUAGCAAAAACACAGGUCUAUGCAAAACCGUAAGGUGAGGUAUAUGGGCUGACGCCUGCCCGGUGCUGGAAGGUUAAGAGGAGAGGUUAACGAAAGUGAAGCUUUGAAUUUAAGCCCCAGUAAACGGCGGCCGUAACUAUAACGGUCCUAAGGUAGCGAAAUUCCUUGUCGGGUAAGUUCCGACCCGCACGAAAGGUGU